rnacentral:rRNA from 1 species
UACGGAGGGGGGCUAGCGUUGUCCGGAAUUACUGGGCGUAAAGAGCUCGUAGGUGGUUUGUCGCGUUGUUCGUGAAAUCUCACGGCUUAACUGCAGGCUUGCAUUCGAUACGGGCAGGCUCGAGUUCGGUAGGGGAGACUGGAAUUCCUGGUGUAGCGGUGAAAUGCGCAGAUAUCAGGAGGAACACCGGUGGCGAAGGCGGGUCUCUGGGCCGAUACUGACGCUGAGGAGCGAAAGCGUGGGGAGCAACAGG